UACGUAGGGUGCAAGCGUUAUCCGGAAUUAUUGGGCGUAAAGAGCUCGUAGGCGGUUUGUCGCGUCUGCUGUGAAAACCCGAGGCUCAACCUCGGGCCUGCAGUGGGUACGGGCAGACUAGAGUGCGGUAGGGGAGAUUGGAAUUCCUGGUGUAGCGGUGGAAUGCGCAGAUAUCUGGAGGAACACCGGUGGCGAAGGCGGCAUCCUGGACCAACACUGACGCUGAGGAGCGAAAGCCAGGGGAGGCAAAACGGG
rnacentral:rRNA from 1 species